UCAGUACAUGUGCCAUCUUCAUUACUGG
rnacentral:piRNA from 1 species